AGUCGCGAACGGGUGAGUAACGCGUAGGUAACCUGCCUGAUAGCGGGGGAUAACUAUUGGAAACGAUAGCUAAUACCGCAUAAGAGUCGUUAACACAUGUUAAUGAUUUAAAAGGAGCAAUUGCUUCACUAUCAGAUGGACCUGCGUUGUAUUAGCUAGUUGGUGAGGUAACGGCUCACCAAGGCCUCGAUACAUAGCCGACCUGAGAGGGUGAUCGGMCACACUGGGACUGAGACACAGCCCAGACUCCUACGGGAGGCAGCAGUAGGGAAUCUUCGGCAAUGGACGAAAGUCUGACCGAGCAACGCCGCGUGAGUGAAGAAGGUUUUCGGAUCGUAAAGCUCUGUUAUAAGCGAAGAACGGGAGUAAGAGUGGAAAGUUUACUCUGUGACGGUAGCUUAUCAGARAGGGACGGCUAACUACGUGCCAGCAGCCGCGGUAAUACGUAGGUCCCGAGCGUUGUCCGGAUUUAUUGGGCGUAAAGCGAGCGCA
rnacentral:rRNA from 1 species